AGCGAACGCUGGCGGCAGGCUUAACACAUGCAAGUCGAACGGGCACUUCGGUGUCAGUGGCAGACGGGUGAGUAACACGUGGGAACGUACCUUUUGGUUCGGAACAACACAGGGAAACUUGUGCUAAUACCGGAUAAGCCCUUACGGGGAAAGAUUUAUCGCCGAAAGAUCGGCCCGCGUCUGAUUAGCUAGUUGGUGAGGUAACGGCUCACCAAGGCGACGAUCAGUAGCUGGUCUGAGAGGAUGAUCAGCCACAUUGGGACUGAGACACGGCCCAAACUCCUACGGGAGGCAGCAGUGGGGAAUAUUGGACAAUGGGGGCAACCCUGAUCCAGCCAUGCCGCGUGAGUGAUGAAGGCCCUAGGGUUGUAAAGCUCUUUUGUGCGGGAAGAUAAUGACGGUACCGCAAGAAUAAGCCCCGGCUAACUUCGUGCCAGCCGCCGCCGUAA
rnacentral:rRNA from 1 species